GUUGAGGUAUAUGAUCUUAUUUUUGAAUUGAAGAUUAUUAGAUGCACUUUGCCGGAUGUCAUAAUGUUUGCUACAUAGAUUUUUGGGCAUGUCAGAGAAGUUGAUUGUUAUUCGAAUAUCUUCAUUGCUUAUCGCAACUUAUUUGUUGUGUCUGUGACGAUAGUAUCGGCUGAAAGAUUCUCAAAGUUGAAAUUGUAGAAGAAUUAUUUGAGGUCAACAAUGACUUACGAGAGGUUAAAUGGUUUGGGUACAUUAUGCAUCAAGAAGAAAUUAUUGAAUGAGAUUGUCAUCGACCCCAUCAUAAGUGACUUCGAAUCGAGGAAUGUUACAAGAAAUUUUCAAGGUAAUAUGUAUAUUAUUAUUUGA
rnacentral:rRNA from 1 species